CAAAGGUCAACAGAGCGGGGCCAAGGCGGGCUGGGGAAGCGAGAUGUACCAGGGUGCAGCCCCAGGGAUCAGAGGACGGGACGGACGAGGCACCAACAGCGUACGGCCACGUAGGCCCCUGUGGCCAAGACGCGGCAAGAGGUACAGAACCGACGGUGGAGGUGGGGCGGCCGCGAGCGACAGAGAGGGGCCCGGAAGCCAUUCCCAACGACCCGGAAGUGAGGCAGCUUCCGCGUCACGCCACGGAAUCUCACUGCCAGGAGCCUCCAGCACAGGAGCGGUCCCCCGGCACCCCGGACGUCUCCUGCCUUUCCUGGCCCCCAUGGGCCCCCCUCUUGGGGCUCGCGCCCACCACCACCAGCACCCAGAGCCACAGCUGGCCCCGGAGAACUCUCUCGCCGAGUACUGUCGCCUCCACGGCCCUCACAGGCAACUUGCUCUGCCCAGCUUCCCCCCUCAGGGACUGAGGGCGCUUCUCUGCCCAGAGAUGCCACCAGCCAUGGAGGCCAGGGAAGGACACCCACACGAGGCGAGGGCGGUUAGGUCCUAAACAGGGCAAGAAUAUUGGCAUGGGUUGCCAUUUCCUCCUCCAAGGGAUCUUCCCAACCCAGUAAUAGAACCUGUGUCCCCUGUCUCCUGCUUGGCAGGUGGAUCAUUGUGACCUGGGAAGCCUUUAGUAUGAGGUUGAAGGAGAUGAAGUUCUGCUUUCUUGUUUUAUCUGUCAAACCAUAAUUCCCAGGCAUUCAGAUGACAAGAAAAUCAGUAACUGCAGUCCAACUUAUCAACCAAAAAAACACCAGACGGACCACUAAUUCUUCAACAUCCAUCUGAUCCUUAAACAGCCUGAGGUCAUGAGAAAAGGUCACAGGCUGAUGACUCAAUGUCUAUGAAUACUCAAGGACUGGGGGAUCAAAGAAAGCCGUAAAAACGACAAAGUGGACACUACAACAUUUAAAAUGAUUGGUCAAAAAGUACACACAUCAGGGCCCUGAGCCAACCAAAAGUGAACAGAUCAAUACUGGUAAAGGUAUAAACUGUUGUUAUUCUCACCUUUGGGGGCACUUCACCCCCUCUCAGUGUCUAUGCUGAGAGCUUUGUAUCUCUAUCCUUUAAAAUACACUUUGCCCGUGUGAGUGUUCGCAUGUUUGUGAAGUUCAUUCUCUGGCUCCAUGAACUAGAACUUGGUUUCAUGUUUUACCACCUUUAGCUAAAGACAAAGGGCAUGGUGGUGAAGAGCCAGUUACAGGCAGAUACCAGGAAAAGCACAGUAAACAAGGGUAAGGUUGACAUGCAGACUCAAGUUGUUGCCUUCUCCAGUGAUACAGGUUUCUAAAAGUUUAGACACCCUCCCUCCUCUUGGCACAGUGAGGGAGCUGCUGGUGCUGCUGCUAAGUCGCUUCAGUCGUGUCCGACUCUGCAACCCCAUAGGCGGCAGCCCACCAGGCUCUGCUGUCCCUG
ensembl:lncRNA